rnacentral:rRNA from 1 species
CAGCUCUCCGAGUGGUGUGGAUGUUUAUUGGGCCUAAAGCAUCCGUAGCUGGCUGAGUUAGUCCCCUGUUAAAUCCACCGAAUCAAUCGUUGGAUUGCGGGGGAUACUGCUCGGCUAGGGGACGGGAGAGGCAGACGGUAUUUCCGGGGUAAGGGUGAAAUCUUAUAAUCCCGGGAAGACCACCAGUGGCGAAGGCUGUCUGCUAGAACGCGCCCGACGGUGAGGGAUGAAAGCUGGGGUAGCGAACCGGAUUAGAUACCCGAGUAGUCC